rnacentral:rRNA from 1 species
GAUGAACGCUAGCUACAGGCUUAACACAUGCAAGUCGAGGGCAGCAUGAACUUAGCUUGCUAAGUUUGAUGGCGACCGGCGCACGGGUGAGUAACACGUAUCCAACCUGCCGAUGACUCGGGGAUAGCCUUUCGAAAGAAAGAUUAAUACCCGAUGGCAUAGUUCUUCCGCAUGGUGGAACUAUUAAAGAAUUUCGGUCAUCGAUGGGGAUGCGUUCCAUUAGGUUGUUGGCGGGGUAACGGCCCACCAAGCCUUCGAUGGAUAGGGGUUCUGAGAGGAAGGUCCCCACAUUGGAACUGAGACACGGUCCAAACUCCUACGGGAGGCAGCAGUGAGGAAUAUUGGUCAAUGGACGAGAGUCUGAACCAGCCAAGUAGCGUGAAGGAUGACUGCCCUAUGGGUUGUAAACUUCUUUUAUACGGGAAUAAAGUGAGGCACGUGUGCCUUUUUGUAUGUACCGUAUGAAUAAGGAUCGGCUAACUCCGUG